rnacentral:lncRNA from 1 species
ACUGAAAGCCCGCUUGCAGUGCAGGGAGACCACGAGCAGGGAGACUCUGAAGCCGGGAGUACAAGUACCAACAGCGCGGAGCACCGCCACCGUCGAUUCGGCCCCGGGCUGUGGCCAGUCUGCCCUGGACAUAGCUGUUCAUCACGUUGGUAGUAAACUCUUUGGAGUUUGAGUCGCUUCUUUUUUCCCGCCUUGCUUGUGGACGCGGACUGCACUGAAACCCGGAAUCGGUCUGACGACGGGUCGGACUUGGAUGGAGUGACCGCUGCGGGCUCGCCUGUCGGGGUUUUGCCGGAACAUGACUUCCAGUUUGUCCAACUGAAGACUGAACCUUCCAAUCAAGUCUCGAGAGUGAGGAGGAAACUUCCGAAGUCGAAUCAGAAACCAGGAAGUGAGACGAGGGCGGAGCAACAGAAGGGAGGAGAAGGCAAGCGAGCGAUCCAGUCAUGAUGGCGGGUGUUGUCUACGUGCCGGGUGUCGGCCUGGCCGUGGCGCUGCUGGUCUGCCUGAGCGUGGGGACCCCGUCUGGCCCGGCCUCGGACACCUGCGCCACGCUGGAGCAGAGCCGCUUCUUUGGCGUCUUCUCCUCGUCCGCGGCGCUGCCCUCGACGCCGUGCUCCUGGACCCUGCAGAACCCGGACCCUCGCCGCUACACCGUGUACAUGAAGAUCACCAAGCCCGCCCAAGUGUGCGUGCCGCGCCAAGUGAGGGCCUUCCAGUUCGACUCCUUCAUCGAGACCUCCCGCACCUACCUGGGCAUGGAGAGCUUCGACGAGGUGGUGCGCCUGUGCGACGCCGCCACCUCGGUGGCCUACCUGGAGUCCAGCAAGCAGUUCCUGCAGCUGCGCAAGGCGGCGCCUCAGCCUGGCGCGGAGUUGGCGGCGGAGGUCUCCGGCGAGGGCAGCGAGUUCAAGGCCGAGUUCCUGGUGGUGGGAAAGAGGAACCCCAGCAUGCCCGCCUGCCAGAUGCUGUGCCAGUGGCUGGAGAGCUGCCUGGCGGGCAGCACCCACAGCAACCCCUGCGGUAUAAUGGCGACCCCCUGCCAGUGCUGGGAGACGCCCAAGAGGAAGCCGGGCGGCUGCUACAGGGGCGGAGUCUACGUGGAGAAGUGUGCUCCGACGCUGAGGGACAACGGCCGUGACGCCGAGAUCAUGCGGGGCUGGAGUGGCUGGGGACGCUGGUCUGAGUGCAGCACCGAGUGUGGAGGUGGAGUGCAGGUGCGCAGCCGGGCGUGUCAGCCCGAGGAUGGCGUUUGUGAGGGCGUGGUCGAGGAAGGGCGUGCCUGCAACCCUCAGCCCUGCAUCGGACAAGUCCGGCAGCGUAGCCAGGCCCUGCGUUCCAUUGUCAGCCAGAAGAGGGACGGCGAACUGUUUGGGGUCCAGUCCCCUCAAAAUGUGGAUACCGUGCAGGAUGAGUGGUCACCAUGGAGCGCGUGUUCCAUCACCUGCGGCGAGGGAUGGCAGACCCGCACCCGUUUCUGCACCAGCUCCACCUACAGCACGCAGUGCACUGGCCCCCUGAGGGAGAACCGCCCCUGCAACAACACAGCCGUCUGCCCAGUGAACGGUGCCUGGGAUGAGUGGGCUCCCUGGAGUCUGUGCUCCUCCACCUGUGGCAGGGGUUACCGCGACCGCGUCCGCACAUGCCGUCAGCCUCAGCAUGGAGGAGAACCCUGCCGUGGCCCCACCAAACAGACCAAGUUCUGCAACAUCGCCGUGUGUCCAGUUGACGGUUACUGGAAUGAAUGGUCAGCUUGGAGCUCCUGUUCCUCCACCUGCUCCAAUGGGACCAUGCAGCGCACCCGCGAGUGCAACGGACCAUCCUAUGGAGGCUCAGAAUGCCGUGGUGAUUGGCUUGAGGCAAGCAAGUGUUUCCUGAAGGAAUGCCCAGUCAAUGGAAGGUGGCUCUCAUGGAGUGCAUGGAGUGGCUGCUCUAAGACUUGUGGAGGAGGGAUCCAAGAAAGACAAAGAGCUUGUGAUGGCCCCUUUUUUGGCGGAGAACCCUGCCCUGGCUCCAAAAGAGAAUCCAAGCAGUGUAAUGAAAAGAGAUGUCCAGAACCCCACGAGAUCUGCCCUGAAGAGAACUAUGGCAGUGUGGUGUGGAGGAAGACGCCUGCUGGAGAUACGGCAGCUGUGCCCUGCCCUGCUGAUGCCUCAGGACUAGUUCUCCGGCGAUGCACACUGGAUGCAGUGGGACUUGCCUUUUGGGAGAACCCGACCCACAUAAAAUGUGUCUCCAAGGAGUAUGAAGAAAUCCAGAUGCUGACACAGGAGCGCCACUCCAAGGCUCAGAGAGGUCUCAUGGUGGACGGGGUGACAGAGCUGAUUACAAGGUUAAAAACCACCUCAGACAACACAACGAGAUACAGCGGAGACCUGCUGGCCAUCAUGGAGAUCCUGAAGAAUACAACAGAAAUUUUCAGAAAAGCCGGCUACAGCCUGAGCAACAUAGAUGUCGAGAAUUUUGCCCAGACCAUCAGCAACUUGCUGAAGGACGAGCACCGGGACAAAUGGGAUGAGGCCCAGCUGAUGGGCGCGAGCACGAAGGAGUUCUUCAGUCUGGUGGAGGAGUUUGUGGACAUCAUCGGGGUCCAGAUGAAAGACUUCCAGGACAUUUACGAGGUCACUGAAAACCUAGAACUCAGCAUUCAGAAGAGGCCCAAGGCCAUGACCUCUGACAUCAGCUUCCCCAUGAGGGGGUGGAGGGGCAUGAUGGAGUGGGUUAGGAACUCAGAGGAGAAGAUCACCGUCUCGCGCAAUGCUCUGUCCUUCGACCUGCCUGAAACCGAGGACAUCACUGCCUACGUGACUGGUAUAGUUCUGUACCGAAACCUGGGCAACAUGCUGUCCAUGCAGAGUAACACCACGGUGCUGAACUCCAAGGUGGUGAGCGUGAUUGUGAAACCCACUCCGGGGCUGCUAACUUCUCCAGUAGAGAUCGAGUUCCCUCACCUCCACAACGGCACUGUCAAUGAGACCUGCAUUUCCUGGGACGAAAGUGAAAGCUCGUCUCUGCUCGGCUCCUGGACGCGGAGCUGCAGAGCGGUGCCCGUCGGCUCCUCCAGAACCAGAUGCGUCUGUGACGGUCUGUCCACCUUCGCCAUCUUAGCGCGGAUCAGCACGGAGCCGGACAUGGAUAAGACAUAUCUGCCCUCUGUGACUCUGAUUGUGGGCUGUGGGGUCUCCUCCCUCACCCUCCUCCUCCUCAUCAUCAUCUACGUCUCUGUUUGGAAGUACAUCCGCUCUGAGCGUUCAGUCAUUCUCAUCAACUUCUGCUUGUCCAUCAUCUGCUCCAAUGCCCUGAUUCUGAUAGGCCAGACACAAGCGCGCAACAAGGUGAUGUGUACGCUGGUGGCAGCUUUCCUCCACUUCUUCUUCCUGUCCUCCUUCUGCUGGGUGCUGACAGAGGCGUGGCAGUCGUACAUGGCCGUGACGGGCCGCCUGCGCAACCGCAUCAUCCGCAAGCGCUUCCUGUGUCUGGGCUGGGGCCUCCCCGCGCUGGUGGUGGCUAUCUCCGUCGGAUUCACCAAAGCCAAAGGCUACGGCACAGUGAACUACUGCUGGCUGUCUCUGGAGGGGGGUCUGCUCUACUCAUUCGUAGGACCAGCUGCCGCCGUGGUUCUGGUGAACAUGGUGAUUGGCAUUCUGGUCUUCAACCGACUGGUGUCAAAGGACGGCAUCACAGACGUGAAGCUGAAGGAGAGAGCGGGGGCGUCGCUGUGGAGCUCCUGCGUGGUUCUGCCUCUGCUGGCCCUCACCUGGAUGUCUGCGGUGCUAGCUAUCACAGACCGCCGCUCUGCGCUCUUCCAGAUCCUCUUUGCCGUUUUCGACUCCCUCGAAGGGUUCAUCAUCGUGAUGGUGCACUGCAUCCUGCGGAGGGAGGUACAGGAAGCUGUCAAAUGCCGGGUUGUUGACCGCAAGGAUGAUGGAAAUGGAGAUUCUGGCAGCUCGCUUCAGAACGGCCACACCCAGCUCAUGUCUGACUUCGACAAGGAUGCUGAAUCUGGCAGACCAGGAGGCAUGAAGAGCUCGUCAGAAGAGAAGAUGCCUCCGCCACAGAUGCCCCUGCCAAUGGGCUCCAACUUCCACACGUUGCCAGCAACACCUCUGCCAAGACCCACAUGCAGCCCGUGCCCGAGUACGCCAGCCACACCCUCACGCUGAAGCGCGAUAAGGGCCGCGGCUCAGACCCAUCCUGCGGGAAGCCGGUCUACGUGUGCGACAAUGAGAUCUUCAAGCAGCUGGACGCGGAGCUAGCCCGCGGGCAGGCGGAGGGCACCUCACCGGACGGCAGUGGCGGCUACGUCCUGCUGCCCAACACCACGUCCACGCUGCGUUCCAAGCCCAAGGACGACGGCAGUGCCACCUCCGGCAAGUACAACAUCAGCGUGGAGCAGCUGCCACAGACGCGCAUGGUCCACGUGAGCGCGGGAUACGCCGAGCCCCAGGCUGCGGUUUACGGGAUGAAGAUGCUUCCGGCUGACCGGGUUAGCGUGUCCUACUCGGAGCGCGACUCCCCUGUCCAGAACAUCCACAACCUCUCCAGCGAGUCCCACAUCACUAGCAGCCUGGGAGACACCUUCGACUCCAUGAACUCUAUGAUGUCCAAGAGUGAAACCAUCUCCACGCUGUCUAUGAGCUCUCUGGAGGUGAGUCCACCUAAGACGUGAGCUCCAAGGGAUAGUGGAGCCCAGGAGCCUGUCUGGACGAAGUCUAACUCUGGUUCUCUUCUUUACCCACAGAGGCAGAAAUCUCGCUACGCAGAGCUUGAUUUUGAGGUUCGUACAGAACAGUUAGAUUCUCAAUGAUCAGGACAUGAAAUGUAUUCUUCAGCCCAACGUAUUGUCCAAGGGGCUAAUUGAUUGUUUGUUUCAAUGUUCUCUGCAGAAGAUCAUGCACACAAGGAAGCGUCACCAGAACAUGUUUCAGGACCUCAACAGAAAAUUACAUCACGCCGAGAAAGACAGAGAGUCGCCUGCGUCCGACAGCAAGGUGAGAAGCUCCUUUGAACGCAG